UUCGAUCUCAGCCUCCAGCUGAGCCUGCUGGUAUUCAAACUGUAUAGGCAGAGCAGGAGGGUCAAAAGGGCACAGAAGAAGAAGAAAACCACAGGAGUCCCAUGAAGGUGCAGAGGUCUACACAGGAGUUCAGGAUAGACACCUUGCUGGCAGGACAUGGCCACAGACUCCUCUAACUUAUUCCCCAAAGUGCAAGAGCAGGUCUUCUUCAGUCCAUCCUUCUAACCUGUCCAGAGCAGCUGUAUGCUUACUGCCAGAUCGCUCUACCCUUCUGGGGCAACAGGACUCGAGCCCUGAGGACUCUGCAAAGCUAGGCCCCUGAUGGUCUACUAUGCUUAGAGACCAUUAUGCAUGGGGCUCUUUGGGCUUCUAAAGGGCUCCCUGGGAGAAACUGCCUUCCAAAUCUGACUACUAAGAUGAUACUAUGGGAACAGAUUGUGAGGACAGAAAGAAAAAAAUAAAUAAAAAUUAAAAACGUAGAAAAAAGAAAAAAAAAAAAAGAUGG
rnacentral:lncRNA from 1 species